GCCUGGGUGGCUCAGCUGGUUGAGCGUCCGACUUCGGCUCAGGUCACGAUCUCCCGGUUCAUGGGUUCAAACCCCACAUCGGGCU
rnacentral:tRNA from 1 species